rnacentral:lncRNA from 1 species
UUUCGAGUGCGUAACUGACUCAGUCUCACCCUAAGAACAAAAGCACUGACUGAUAUGGCUACAUGCUUCUAUUUUCAAUUGCUUCCUCCCCCAACUCCACCCUCCAAAUGAGAAAUCACAAGCUCUUUUCUGCUUCUGGAUUGGUUAGAGGAAAAAUGAUAACUAGAUAUAAAACGAAAAAUUCUUGAGUUUGAAACUGACUCAACUAGC